rnacentral:lncRNA from 1 species
GGGGAAGGCUCUGCAGAUGGCCACAAAAAAUAAGAAACAUUAUAAGAGUGAGCCAAAGAGCAAUGCAACAGAAAGUGCUAUCAGCACCAACACACUGAACAACAUCUCUCUUUUUUUUUGCUUCAAGCAAAAAAUAAGAAACAUUAUAAGAGUGAGUCAAAGAGCAAUGCAACAGAAAGUGCUAUCAGCACCAACACACUGAACAACAUCUCUCUUUUUUUUUGCUUCAAGCAUAUUCCCAAAUCUAGAAAAAGAAAACUGAUCACAUCAAGGGAUGGAGACGUACUAUUGGCCUCUGUUUCACAAUGUGAUCCAUCCAAUAUCAAGUAACAUGAACAUUUUCAAAUCCAAGGUCAAGCAAUCAGGAAAAACAUAAGAGGAUAAAUGAAGUUAUGUAGAGAUAUCUAUUCUGAUUUUUGUUACGUCCAGAUGUCUCUUAAAAUAAAAUAAGGAGUCCUCACAAAAAUUAAAAAGGGGAGAGAAAAUAUUAAUUACGGAGUACCAGAAAUACAGCCAGCGCAAAAGGUAGAAACAAUCUAAUUUCAGAAGUCAUACUUUUGCUUAGUC